ACAAAAUUCCUAAAAUACCAAAACUUCUAAAUCCCUAAAAAUUUCUCCCCAAAACCGACGAUUUCUCUCAAAAUCUCUCCAAAUCACCAAAUUUCUCUGGACUAUUUCAUCUCUACAUCUCUGCCACCGCCGAGUUCUUCAUCGAUCUCUUCAUCUCCGCCGGCCUACAUCUCUUCAUCUCUACAUUCCCAAAUUUCCGCCGGCCUGCAUCGAUCUCUAGCAUCUCUUCAUCUAUUUUCCGUCAGACUGCAUAUCUUCUUCUACUCAUCUACUAUCGGCGAGUUUCAUUGGUAUUUUUCUUUCUUUUUUAAAAAUCCAAAUAAAUUUGAUGAGAAUGUUAUAAAUAAAAUUCAACAUUUGAAGUCGAGAUUAAAAAAAAUAUUUUAUGUAUCCCCAUGAAUCAUAUAAUAAUACUAUCUUAUUUCCAUUGUUUACUUUGAUUGUUGGAGAGGGAUUUCUUUUAAUCAAGGAGGAAUUUCUAUAGAUUUAUUAUCAAAAUGGGUGACUCCGUUGGAGUUGGAAAAUAAAAAUACUCACGAGUGGUAUGAAUAUUUAACAAAUGGAAUUCCUUCCAUAAGUAAAGCGGUUUUUGGGAUAAUCAUAGCAUUUUUUUAUGGACCCAUUUAUUCGUCUUUCAAAAAUUUGGAUUUAAUCAACUCAUUUGUAAAAAGGGGUUAUAAAACAAUUUGACUAUCCUAUAAUUUAGGACGUCUUUUUGUAUACUACUUAAUUUAAUUAACCAGUCAUGUGUAUCUAAGUAUUGGAGUGACAGGCGCAAAUCCUGCAAAGGAUUUGUUCACAGUGUAUUAAGAACACACUGCUGCAUACUUGUGAGCCGUUAAGCUUUGAUUUAUCAGAUCUUGUAGUAAAUUUUUUUUAUGUAUCCCUUAAUUUUUUUAAUAAUUUCUUUUUUCAAUUACAUCUAGGACUAAGUAUUUAGAAUUUUUUUUCUCUUCAAACUCUUUUCUAUCGGCAAAAGAUAUUGAGAGAUCAUUCUUUCUUUUAAUUCGUCUAGUUUUUUUUAAUAAGUUCUUCAAUACAUUCUUCUGCCUAAAUGGAAAAUAUUGGUAAUAAAUAAUAAAAUACUACGAAUAUAUACUACGAAUUGUUAGAUAUAAGUCCUUAUUACGAAGAUAUGCAUACUACGAAGAUAUAAGUCCUUAUUAGAUCGAAUAAAAGGAUUUUGUCGCAUUUGGAAUACUACGAAUUGUUAAACUCUUUGAUUAACUUAUCUUAUAUUUAUGACUAAAUAAAAUGUUGAUAGACCAAAACUCCAAAAUAAAGUGAAUGGAAUUAUGGAUAGCUUAAUUAUCUCAUUUUUUAUCUGAUUUACUGCCUUUUGAACUAUGUAUUUUCUUUAUUUUUCUUAUUUUCCUUAUAUUUCAGAUAUUAUAUAUAUUUUGUUUAUGUUAGUGUAUUAAUCAAUUUUUUCUUUUCAGAUUUUGCUUUGUCUUCUUAUUUUCAGAUUUUGCAUCGUCGAUCUUCUCAUGAGUAGCUUAUUUCAUAUGUACGUUUUUAGUUCAUUAUUUGAUCUUAUAUUCAGAUCAUUUUUAUGAUGUGAUUUACUUGAUUAAUUUCUUCACUUGAUAUUUGAUACUUCUCUAGUUUAUGGUGUUUGUUUGCUUUUAAAAUUAUCAAAUAUAAAAUAUACAAAUUGAUUAUGUUGAUCGUAAAAAAACCCGAAGAUACAUGUUUUCUAUUUGAUUUGUUUAUAUUUAGGGUGUCAAACGAGCAUAUCCGAGCUGAGAUUUUUCUUAUAGAACCAGGGUCGGGCUCGGCUCGUUAAGGAGUUAUCUAGGCUCGGGGUCGGCUCGUUUUAAGAAUUACCAGGCUCGGGCUCGAAGCUCACGAGCCCACAGAGCUUAAAGAGCUGAGCCCGAGCUGAGCCUGUCGAGCCGGGCUGGGGCUUUAUUUGACAACCUAUUUAUAUUUCUUAUUUCUUAUUAUGAUUUAUUUUUUUAUUUUUCAUGAUAUAUUUUUAUUGGGUCAAUAGAUCGAUGAUAUAUAUAACGUGUAAUCUAAAACUCAAUAAAGUCAUGACAAAAUUUAGAUGUCAUGAAUUAGUAUUUUAGAUUAUACGUACAUGCAACUCAUUUUUGCAUGUUUCAAUUAUUUUUAUCGUCUAAGUACAUCCGAUAUAGAAGUUGAUCGAAUUUCUCUUUGUAUUUUAUAGAAUGACCGGCAAUGAUCGAAAUUGGUGUACAAUCGAGUAGAUGAGAAAAAUCAAAUUACCGAUUCAUUUCUCAAUGGUGUUGAGCGAUUUCUAAACUUUACAUUCUCAGAGACAAUUAUGACUCGUGGAGACGAAAAAUUAAAUGCCCUUCUAGUAGUUGUUGUUGUUUAAAUAAGUUAGAGAUAUAAUGACAGUUCAUCUUUACAAGUUCGAUUUUAUGAGUGAUUACACUAAUUGGGACAGACAUGGAGAACCAAUGAAAAGAGUACGUGUAGAUGAAUACAUCUCUGAUGGAGUGAACUUGGCUGGUUGGAGAUUGGAAGAAAAUGGCUGGCGGUUGGAGCAAUGGAACAAUGCUAAACUAGGGUUGCUUCAACCCAGUUUUGUUUUUAGAAACUUGAAAACAAUAUUGAUUAAUUAAUAAAGUAUUUGAGUUACCCUAUUAUAGGGAUACA
rnacentral:lncRNA from 1 species